CAGUAGCCGCGGGAAUACGGAGGGAGCUAGCGUUGUUCGGAAUUACUGGGCGUAAAGCGCACGUAGGCGGUUAUUCAAGUCAGAGGUGAAAGCCCGGGGCUCAACCCCGGAACUGCCUUUGAAACUAGAUGACUAGAAUCUUGGAGAGGUCAGUGGAAUUCCGAGUGUAGAGGUGAAAUUCGUAGAUAUUCGGAAGAACACCAGUGGCGAAGGCGACUGACUGGACAAGUAUUGACGCUGAGGUGCGAAAGCGUGGGGAGCAAACAGGAUUAGAUACCCCCGUAGUCCCUGUCUCUUAUAC
rnacentral:rRNA from 1 species